GAUGAACGCUAGCUACAGGCUUAACACAUGCAAGUCGAGGGGUAACAAGAGAAAAGCUUGCUUUUCUUGUUGACGACCGGCGCACGGGUGAGUAACGCGUAUCCAACCUGCCUAUAACUAGGGAAUAACCUUGCGAAAGUAAGACUAAUACCCUAUGAUUUCCUUUGAUGACAUCAGAUUAGGAAUAAAGAUUUAUCGGUUAUAGAUGGGGAUGGGUCUGAUUAGCUUGUUGGCGGGGUAACGGCACACCAAGGCAACGAUCAGUAGGGGUUCUGAGAGGAAGGUCCCCCACAUUGGAGCUGAGACACGGUCCAAACUCCUACGGGAGGCAGCAGUGAGGAAUAUUGGUCAAUGGGCGGAAGCCUGAACCAGCCAAGUAGCGUGCAGGAUGACGGCCCUAUGGGUUGUAAACUGCUUUUAUACAGGAAUAAAGUUAGCCACGUGUGGUUAUUUGUAGGUACUGUAUGAAUAAGGACCGGCUAAUUCCGUGCCAGCCGCCGCGGUAA
rnacentral:rRNA from 1 species